ACAUGCAGUCGAGGGGUAACAGGGAAAGCUUGCUUUUUUGCUGACGACCGGCGAACGGGUGCGUAACGCGUAUAGAAUCUGCCUUGUACAGGAGGAUAGCCUUUAGAAAUGAAGAUUAAUACUCCAUAAUGUUGAGAGAUGGCAUCAUCUUUUAAUUAAAGAUUUAUCGGUACAAGAUGACUAUGCGUCCUAUUAGCUAGAUGGUAAGGUAACGGCUUACCAUGGCAACGAUAGGUAGGGGGUCUGAGAGGAUUAUCCCCCACACUGGUACUGAGACACGGACCAGACUCCUACGGGAGGCAGCAGUGAGGAAUAUUGGUCAAUGGAGGCAACUCUGAACCAGCCAUGCCGCGUGCAGGAAGACUGCCCUAUGGGUUGUAAACUGCUUUUAUACAGGAAGAAACUUAGUUACGUGUAACUAACUGACGGUACUGUAAGAAUAAGCACCGGCUAACUCCGUGCCAGCAGCCGCGGUAAUACGGAGGGUGCAAGCGUUAUCCGGAAUCAUUGGGUUUAAAGGGUCCGCAGGCGGUCAAUUAAGUCAGAGGUGAAAUCCCAUAGCUUAACUAUGGAACUGCCUUUGAUACUGGUUGACUUGAGUUAUACGGAAGUAGAUAGAAUAAGUAGUGU
rnacentral:rRNA from 1 species